AUGGCGCUCUCCGACCUCUCCCACGACUCGCUCCUCCCCGGCUUCCUCUACUCCCUGCGCUCCUUCGCAGCCGCCUCAGCGCCCGCCGCGGCCCCGGCCGCCGGCCUUGUCGGCGCUGGCGGGGUCGGAGGCAGCAGGCCCUUCUCGGUCCACGGGCCCAACGAGAAGAUCAUCAUGUACUCGGCGGCCUUCUGCGCCACCUGCAGCAUCGGGGGGAUCGACAGCUGCGGGCUCACCCACAUGGCCAUCACCCCGCUCGACCUCGUCAAGUGCAACAUGCAGGUGAGGGCCUAG
rnacentral:rRNA from 1 species